rnacentral:lncRNA from 1 species
AUGUAUUUUAUUUGUCUAAUGUUGGUUGAACAGUAUCGGUGGAUUCAGUUUGUCAUGGUACUAAUACAGGUAUUCAAUUAGCGUCACAGACAGAGUUGUAUAAAUGAAAAGUUUUCGAAAACGAAAAAAGAUGAAUACGAGUAUCGAUGUUGUUUGGCACAAUUUCAUUUUAAAUAAAAUUUAUAUCACAAUGUUGACAAAAUAAACUUAGAACACAGUGAACCAACUUGAUAUAGCAAAACAACAUCGGUCCCCAUAAAGCAAACGAACUGAAUCGUUAUCAGCUAAAUAACAUCAGUACUAUUAUUGAAAAUCGUUCUUAUUGUUUUUGAUCGAUCUAAAGUUAUCUAUUUCAUUAUUAAAGCAAGUGUCGGAACUGUAACGAACCAAACUAAUACCGACCGAGUUCUCGUCACGAAGCACGGGUGAAGAUCAUUAGUUUAAAAUUAAAAGGGAAAAUGUUUAUUUUGUAUUUGAAGGAAAAAAAAAAAAAAACUGAUUAAUUGAAGACCUGAACCGGGUCUGGCCCUGCAAAUCAGCCCCAUCGUUUCCGUGUUUUCUUCUUCUUCUUUCACAUCGCAAACCACCAUCUCCGGUGAAUCACAACCACCGCCGCCACUGCUUCAAUCAGACAACACUUUUUCCUUUUGUAAAGGUAUCUGUAUUAGAUGCCAUUGCAGGGGAUAUGAUAUUUGGUUGUCCAGAGGUUCUCAAUCUCAAAAGUGAAAGGCAACAACAUUUCUAGUAGAUGUAUUAUCUUUGGGUAGUUGUUAAUGUAGAGAUGCUGAAGGGAUGUGAGGUGUUGGAGUCCAACCGAAAGUGAUUCCAGUUUAUCAAAUUUCAAGUCGAAGCUCUGUAAGAGUGGAAGGAAGAAGAAGGGACAAUUGACUAAAAUUACUGAGAUGUUUGCAACAUUACGUCAGGUGAACAAGGGAAGUUGGAAAAUUUUAAGGGCUCGACUCUGACAAAGGCUUAUUCAGCCCCCCUAUUAAUUGGAAACACAAAUUGGGAGGCCAACGCCCACAAGGAAAGAGAUCAUCUGUUUUUGGGACAAUUUUCUAUUUUUCAAAUAAUUUAACAAAGUGAGCUUUGUCUGAAUGGCUGGAAAAGAAAUCAUCAUACAGUGUUAUGUUUUUGAAACUGGCUUCUGUUAUGAUAUUUAAUAUUUUAUUUUGAAUACACAUCUGUUGGAUAAUCUGCAGCAAUGAUUUUUUUGCUCAAAGCUUGGAUACACUAAAUUAACUAUAUAGUUGAAUACCAUCUCAAGGUGUUCCCCUGUACCAAUGGUUGAAUACAUAUCGUAGCACCAACUUGCAGAAAUGAAGUUCUAAUAUCGAUUCACUGUACUAUGGGACGUUUGACCCGUUUUAGUUAAAAUUGCUAUAUCUUGACCCACUUCAUUUUAAAUUACUGUUUUUUGACAUGUUUAAUGUUAAUUCACUGUAUUCUUCCCUGUUGAAUAUUAAUUCAUUGUGUUUUGGC